rnacentral:rRNA from 1 species
UGGGCAACCUGCCCCAGACACAGGGAUAACCCCGGGAAACCGGGGCUAAUACCGGAUAUGAGUCCGAGCGGCAUCACGCGGACUGGAAAGUUUUUCGGCUAAGGAUGGGCUCGCGGCCUAUCAGCUUGUUGGUGGGGUAAUGGCCUACCAAGGCGACGACGGGUAGCCGGCCUGAGAGGGCGACCGGCCACACUGGGACUGAGACACGGCCCAGACUCCUACGGGAGCA